GACGAACGCUGGCGGCGUGCCUAAUACAUGCAAGUCGAGCGGACUUUCAAGAAGCUUGCUUUUUGAAAGUUAGCGGCGGACGGGUGAGUAACACGUGGGCAACCUGCCUGCAAGACGGGGAUAACUCCGGGAAACCGGGGCUAAUACCGGAUAAAUCUUCCUUCGCAUGAAGGAAGGUUGAAAGGCGGCGCAAGCUGCCGCUUGCAGAUGGGCCCGCGGCGCAUUAGCUAGUUGGUGAGGUAACGGCUCACCAAGGCGACGAUGCGUAGCCGACCUGAGAGGGUGAUCGGCCACACUGGGACUGAGACACGGCCCAGACUCCUACGGGAGGCAGCAGUAGGGAAUCUUCCGCAAUGGACGAAAGUCUGACGGAGCAACGCCGCGUGAGCGAAGAAGGUCUUCGGAUCGUAAAGCUCUGUUGUCAGGGAAGAACAAGUACCGUUCGAACAGGGCGGUACCUUGACGGUACCUGACCAGAAAGCCACGGCUAACUACGUG
rnacentral:rRNA from 1 species